rnacentral:rRNA from 1 species
GAUGAACGCUGGCGGCGUGCUUAACACAUGCAAGUCGAACGGAAAGGCUCCUGCUUGCAGGGGUACUCGAGUGGCGAACGGGUGAGUAACACGUGGGUGAUCUGCCCUGCACUUCGGGAUAAGCUUGGGAAACUGGGUCUAAUACCGGAUAGGACCGCAUUUUGGAUGGUGUGGUGGAAAGUUUUUUCGGUGUGGGAUGAGCUCGCGGCCUAUCAGCUUGUUGGUGGGGUAAUGGCCUACCAAGGCGUCGACGGGUAGCCGGCCUGAGAGGGUGUACGGCCACAUUGGGACUGAGAUACGGCCCAGACUCCUACGGGAGGCAGCAGUGGGGAAUAGUGCACAAUGGGCGCAAGCCUGAUGCAGCGACGCCGCGUGGGGGAUGACGGCCUUCGGGUUGGAAACACCUUUCGCUAGGGACGAAGAGUAAUUGACGGUACCUGGAGAAGAAGCACCGGCUAACUACGUG